rnacentral:rRNA from 1 species
UACGGGGGGAGCAAGCGUUGUUCGGAUUUACUGGGCGUAAAGGGCGCGUAGGCGGCACCGCAAGUCGACUGUGAAAUCUCCGGGCUUAACCCGGAAAGGUCAGCCGAUACUGCGGGGCUAGAGUGCAGAAGGGGCAACUGGAAUUCUCGGUGUAGCGGUGAAAUGCGUAGAUAUCGAGAGGAACACCUGCGGCGAAGGCGGGUUGCUGGGCUGACACGUGACGCUGGAUGCGCGAAAGCUAGGGGAGCGAACGGG